ACCUAGGUAUGUGAGGAAAAGACCUGCAAUCAUGAGCUCCUUAUUAGUACAAUCACAAGAGAAUAUAAUAUACCUACUAAACUCAGAAGCAAAAAAUUCAAGGACUAAGAUUAUUGGAGUGAGUUAAAAUAAAAAAAUAAAAAAAUAAAUCCUCUUUGUAAACAGAGAGCAGGCUUCCCCCACCCAAUCACCACCACCAGCCACUGCCCAGAAUCUGCAACCACUCCUCUUUCAUACUCAGCCUUCACCUGCUAGCGUGAUCUAAAUAAUAUUCUACAUAAUCCAUGAGGCUGCAAUGGUAUGUCUACACAUUGUAAUACAAUUUUAUGAUCUUCAUUUGGGUCAUAAAGUAGGUGAAAGGAAAUAUUGCAAUGCUACUGAUUUAAAAAGGACAUGCAAAGAAUGCAAGCUCUUUCCAUCUUCAAAUGCAAACAUUCCCGUUAUGAAAAAAAAGGAAAAAAAAAAAAACAGAGAAAAUUUCUUAAA
rnacentral:misc_RNA from 1 species